rnacentral:rRNA from 1 species
AUUGAACGCUGGCGGCAGGCUUAACACAUGCAAGUCGAGCGGGGGAAGGUAGCUUGCUACCGGACCUAGCGGCGGACGGGUGAGUAAUGCUUAGGAAUCUGCCUACUAGUGGGGGACAACAUCUCGAAAGUGAUGCUAAUACCGCAUACGUCCUACGGGAGACAGCAGGGGAUCUUCGGACCUUGCGCUAAUAGAUGAGCCUAAGUCGGAUUAGCUAGUUGGUGGGGUAAAGGCCUACCAAGGCGACGAUCUGUAGCGGGUCUGAGAGGAUGAACCGCCACACUGGGACUGAGACACGGCCCAGACUCCUACGGGAGGCAGCAGUGGGGAAUAUUGGACAAUGGGGGGAACCCUGAUCCAGCCAUGCCGCGUGUGUGAAGAAGGCCUUAUGGUUGUAAAGCACUUUAAGCGAGGAGGGGGCUACUUUAGUUAAUACCUAGAGAUAGUGGACGUUACUCGCAGAAUAAGCACCGGCUAACUCUGUGCCAGCCGCCGCCGUAA